CCUACGGGCGGCAGCAGUGGGGAAUAUUGGACAAUGGGGGGAACCCUGAUCCAGCCAUGCCGCGUGUGUGAAGAAGGCCCUCGGGUUGUAAAGCACUUUCAGUGAGGAAGAACGCCUGGUGGUUAAUACCCAUCAGGAAAGACAUCACUCACAGAAGAAGCACCGGCUAACUCCGUGCCAGCAGCCGCGGUAAUACGGAGGGUGCGAGCGUUAAUCGGAAUUACUGGGCGUAAAGCGCGCGUAGGUGGCUUGAUAAGCCGGUUGUGAAAGCCCCGGGCUCAACCUGGGAACGGCAUCCGGAACUGUCAAGCUAGAGUGUAGGAGAGGAAGGUAGAAUUCCCGGUGUAGCGGUGAAAUGCGUAGAGAUCGGGAGGAAUACCAGUGGCGAAGGCGGCCUUCUGGACUGACACUGACACUGAGGUGCGAAAGCGUGGGUAGCAAACAGGAUUAGAUACCCGUGUAGUC
rnacentral:rRNA from 1 species